GCUCCCACUAAAAUGACUUAUAACUAAUAAAGUAUAUGUUGUUUACAUUUGUGUUGGAAAAAGAAAGUGUUCGAUAAAAAAAAUGUUGUUUACAUUUUAUCCUGCGGAUUAAAGAAUAUCUUCAACAUAAAUAUAAAUGAAAUAACGUAAUAGCAUGAUAAGUAAUGCCCACCACGUAUGAUUUAUUUAAGGAGCUACAAGCCUACAACGAUCGAUCACACGCAUCAUUAUUCUUUAAUGUAAUUUACACUUUAACAGGUGCUGAAGUGACAAUUUUUUUUUUAUUACAGGUGCUGUUACAAACGAAGCUUUAUUAUAGGCUAGUUGCAAAAGUCAA
rnacentral:lncRNA from 1 species